CCCACUGUGGGGAUUCCCCAGUCAUGUUAGGUGAUCUUACAGCUUCCCUACCCCUACAGUCAGUAACUUUGAUAUCAGUCUAUUCUUUGCCACAAUUUUAAAGCAGCUAAAUACAAAUUUUGACUGACUCUGUAAAGUAAUCUUUUGGAUAUUUGCAGAUCAUUAUGUAUCCCAAGCAUCUUCCAAAUACACUAAUGUCAUAAACACUUUCUUGGUCAGAGGUCUAUAAUCCAUGACCUUUCAUGCUUGUUCUUUUCAGACUCUGUAUUUUUCUUGAAAUGUCAUGCCAACAGCUCACAUGAACGUUUUUAUCCCAGCAUGCACAUUUUUGAUUGCAGAAAGGAUCCUACUUUUUAAGCAAUAUCUGCAUCUUUUCCUUUGAGCUGAACAGAUAUCUCACUAUAUCCAAAACUGUGUGUUUAAACAUAUUUUACCCUUCAUGCCUAUAUAACAACAAUAUUUUGACAAUGUAAUUCGUCAGUAGCAUCCUCCUGUUAAGUGCUAUCAUCUAUAAUCUGAAGAAGUGAUACAAAUCUUAAGUACUCAUAACCCUCUUGACUUGUUCAUCGAAGAUGAUCUUACGUAGCCUUCACACCUGCCAUUUCUCUGGCAUUUUCCUCCACAGUAUCCAUUUGAUGCUCAUUAGGUUUUCAAGUUAUUUUCCCAGCUUUUUGACUAUGUGUGCAAUCGUGUAUUCUAAAUAGGGUUGUUUAUGCCCCAUGUGUUUCAGUGAGUAUUUUGGUAACAGUACACAAGCAGGCGAUAUAUUUGUCCUACACAUCUUUGUCCCAGCGUUCUGCAGUUCCUUCCCACUCGUGCUUGAAAAUUGGAGUACACUGUUUUUUUUUUUCCUUCAUCUCAUCAUUGUUGUUGUAUUUUUUUUACCCCCUAGCAUUUUUAGAACAUAACAUAUUUUCAUGUAAGUAGUGUUAAUUAUGUAACAGCAAUUUAUCUCAGAUAAGAUCUUUUAUUUUUGUUGCAAUUUGGCAAUUAGAAUGCAGAAAAUUUCAGGCUUUGAACCCUGCCUUUUAUGUCAAGUUGUCUGCCCACAGCUGAUGAGUAUAAGUAUCUUAUUUGCCUCAGAAAAGGAAGUGAAAAAAGUACCAUCUGCAAAUUUAUUGGAAAUUUAAAUAUCUUGGAUGUAUGGCCGAAGGAAUAGAUCAUCAAGCAGUCAAAGUAUUGCUCUGUAAUAGUGACCAAAGGGUACUUUGAUUCAACACCCUAAGAACUGUUAUGAAAGGGCAUCAAGAAUAAAAGCAAAUCUCCCUUGAAAUAUAUCAGGAUAAGACAACUGGCCAGUAUCUGAUGGGCAGAGAAUGGUAUGGCAAGGAACUUAAACGAGCCUUUUUUGCUCAUGCAGCACAAUUUACUGGGAUUCUUUGAAGGGGUCAGCAAGCAUGUGGAUAAGGGAAAGCCAAUUCAUACAGGCUACCUGGAUGUCUAAAAACUAUUUCUAAUAGUUUUUGUGGGAAUGAUUGGAGAAGAGGAAAAGCUGUUGCAUGAAUUAAGAUAGAUUAAAAUGUGUAAAGCAGAAGCAUAAAUGGCAAGUCUCACAGUGGACUACAACAGGGAACUUUUUUGAGCUCUGAUCCAACACUGAACUUAAAACCAUCCUUAUGUUCUAAUAUAGUCAAUGCACCAAGCUUUUGAUCCAGGACUUUUGAGUGGCUGGUAAAUCUGACUUCAUGUCUCCCAAAAACAUCACUUUCACACCAACCUGUUCUUUAGAAGGACUUCACCUAAAACUUUUUUUGUUAGGCACCUGAAAUUCGUGGGAUUAAGCGCUCUACUACUUUGUUAGGAAGACUGAGUUUCUAACUUCAGCAUCAGUUACGAAAGACACUUUAAUGCUGGGCACACAGAUUUGAUCCAGUAUUCCUGGAUAGCUGCUUUCCUACAAAGAUGGAUGCUGAUAUUGUAUCACCUUUAGGUGACAACUAUGAUGUCAUAUCAUCUUUGGGAAAUCUUACUGUGGUUGCACAGAACAAGCAUGUUAGUCUUCCCAGUACUGUUGGUGUUUCCAUGUGUUCUGCCUUAUUCUUUUAAUCUUAUGGAAAGCAUUUCUUUAGAUGUUCAUCUAUCUCUCACCAUCCCCCAAGGUACUUCAAUGACACAAAAUUAUCACAAUUGCAGAUCCUAAUUUAGGUAUUUUUUUCCAUGUUGGAAAAACACUUUAAGUCCCAUGUUCUCUCUGAAUUGCCAUGGCACUGCUGAGCUGUGGAGGACAGUCCUCACUCCACUCUAUCGCUGUCAGAUUUGACUGUCCUCAUCAAGCUGAUCAGCUGACAAAUAGACUGUAUUGCCUUGAACGUCAGAGUAGAUUUUUCUAACUAGGUCUAGCUACUGAGCAUAUGUAGGAGCCAGAAUAGCAGUUGCCUGCCUUUAUUUCAUCCUCCUCCUCUGACAAAGCUAAACUAGCUGAUGUUCCCUACCCAAAAUGAUCUUUAAGGCCUUUCAGCAUUCUCUAAUUAAACAGCUUCUAACUCUCUGAAAGAGAAACUGUAGCCCCUUCAAGCCUGCUGGGUGGGGAUGAUGGAAAGUAAUUCCCAUGGGAAUACACCUUUGCACAUAGGUGUCUCAAAGGAUACCAUGUAUUACCAAGAUACGUGUCCUGUAGACGUCUUAAGAUACGUACCUUUCUAACUUCAGGCAUUCAUAGAUCACUGAUGCUUGAGGCUGUACAUCUAAAAAGGAGUGUAAACUUCAUCAGCGUUGACUAAAGAAGAAUCUGCUUUCUUUUUUAAUGUGCUGGCAUUGCUGGCUUUCUGCUGAUCUGCAUCAAGGCUCUCUGGUGUACAGAAAGCCCUAAUAACACGAGCUCCUGAUAGCCCUCACUCUUACACCCUGGCAGAGGCAGAUCCUGCUCAACAUGGCAAGACAUGACUGUAGAGACCUGAUGUGGAUGACCCAGCUAGACUGUUCCAAUUCUCUUUUUCCUCUCUCUUGAAGGACUGCUGUUCUUCAGUGAAAGGGUCUACUGGACCAUCUGUAAUCCCCAGGGAGGAGGAUUUUAAGGACUAUUGGAGAGGUCACUGAGACUUGAAGACUUUUAUAAUUUUUCUUCCUGAGCCAAAGAGUUUUCCCCCAAACACCUCAAUGUUAUUCAGCAUAAGGUUAUUCUGACUCAGGCAGCCAAAAUCCUGAAUCCCAGGUCUGUGACCAGCCACCAAGUCUGUACCCAAGUGACAAGAGCAGUGCCAGCAGCAGUAACAAAGGCCAACUUCCAAUAGACUUGCCCAGAGGAAAAGGAAGAGUUCUUGAAGACAGACAUGGUAUUUGCCUGACUCACAGUUCAAGGUGAAGUCUCACUUAAUGACACAGGUCUGCAUGUUUAUUUUGUCCUAAAUCUUUUCAAUCUGUGGGCAAAUGCUGACUUUUCUAAAGUGUGAUUCUUAAGCCUUGCUCGAUCAUUAUGAUUACAAGGUAAGGUCAUAAGCAAAGACAUUUAAGCUCUUAUGGAGUGCCUGGGUUCAAAAGGAUCUAUCUCAGUUUCUCUACUUGAUUUCCUCUACUUCAAAUGAAGAUCAAUAUUCAUCAUAAAUCACCCAAAGCCAACUCUUAUCCGUGAAUAAAAACUUUUAUAAAUAAGAAUGUAUAUAUUUGUUAUUAUGGAAAUUACUAUUUAGAAAAAAAGAG